GGGGUCGCCCGCGGGCGGGCCUCCGGGUUAGGGGUGCCGGGUUAGGGCACCUCGUGAUGCGGGGACCCCGCUUCCACCACCCCCCACCGCCACCGCCACCGAGGAAGGCGGAAGGAGGAACGAGGGGAGGGGCGACGCGGAGGGCCGGGAUCCCCAAAUGCCGGUUCUCCCCACCACGCCCCAGGUCCCGGAGGGUUGAAUGCUACACUCACAGGCUUUCCGUCUUCACAAGCGGGAACUGUAAAUUCUGGCUCCGCUACCGACUGCCUGUGUGACUGAGCAAGUCACUUAACGUCUCCGAACUCUUCUUAUGUAUUGCUACCUCCCUUCCCCUCCUGCUAGGCUGCUGGCUGGCCGGCUGCUGAGGAAGUGUCGCUGCUGGGUGUACGGAGCUCCAGUUCCAGGAGGUGCCGCAGAGUGAAUUCAGAUGUCUACCACCAACUAGCUGAGUAUUGGUUUGGGUCCCUCAGCCUCUCUGAGCCUCUUUUUUUUAAUGUUUAUUUAUUUUUGAGAGAGUAGGGGAGGGGCAGAGAGAGAAGGGGACAGAGGGUCCAAAGCAGGCUCCCCACCGUCAUUGCAGAGUGCCAUGCCAUGCUCGGUUGGAACCCAGGAACAGUGAGAUGAUAACCUGAGCCAAAGUCUGACGCUUAACCAACUGAGCCACCCAGGCGCUCCUCUCCGAGCCUCUUUUGAGCCUCUUUCCUCUUCUGUAUCAUGGAGAUAUUAAUGAUGGUGUUGUCUUCAAGAUUAUGUGAAAUGACCUGUAUGAAGCCUUUGGCUUAGUAUCUGGCAUUUGAAAGGUGCUCCUAACGGUAACCGUAACGUGAGUGAGUGAAAGUAGACAAACUCAUGAGACUACUUCUGGGAGGAUGCCAUAUUGGAGAUUUCAGACUUUAUUCCGAGAAAAUUGGAAGCUCUUAAAAGAUUUCAUCCAGGGGCAUGGCAUGCAUCCUUGUGUUUUACACUGAUUUUUCUGCCAGCUUCCUGGAAAGUGGAUGGCAGGAGCAGAGACUGUGAGCAUGGGGCACAGAGACCAGUUUGCAAACUGCCAUCAGUGGAGAUAUAAUAGGAGCUGGGGGGGGGGGGGGGGGGGGCGCCUGGGUGGCUCAGUCCGUUAAGCUUCCGACUUCGGCUCAGGUCAUGAUCUCAGGUCAUGAUCUCACGGUCCGUGGGUUCGAGCCCCGUGUCGGGCUCUGUGCUGACAGCUCAGAGCCUGGAGCCUAUUUCGGAUUCUGUCCCUCUCUCUCUCUCUGACCCUCCCCUAUUCAUGCUCUGUCUCUCUCUGUCUCAAAAAUAAAUAAACAUUAAAAAAAAUUUUUUUUUUUUAAAUAAUAGGAGCUGGGGCAAUGACAGCAGGAAUGAAAAAAGAGGACACGCAAAUAAUACCUACCAUUUGGGGAGCAAAAGCAAUUUGCUUAUUAUAUUGCCUCUCCUUUUCAUACCAUAUGUGGGGGCCUUACCCUAUCGUAUGAAUAAGAAAAUUGAAGUCACCGAGGAAAUGAAAGAGCUGGAAUUUGAACCCUUUUCCACAUGCGUGGAGAGCCUUAAUCAUUUCCUUCCUCAGUAUCACUUUUAUGUCAACACUGCUUAAGACUCAAGAACAAGGAGACGCGGGGCUGGCUCCAUCAGAAGAGCAUGCCACUCUUGAUCUGGAGGUGAUGCUCAUGUUGAACCUUCGAUGGCGUCCACAGUUCUCUGCACGCUUUCAACACCCACAGUCCAGUAUAAGGGCGGACUGAGGGCUAAAGGAACUGCCGUGUGGUCUACCUGCGCCCCCUACCUUAGACUUCAGUGCUCUCAGCUUCAAGGAUAAAGAUACCUAUGCGCAGCGAAGUCUAAGGAACCCAAGUCACAAAACAGAAAUAGAGGAACAGCAACUCUGGGAGAACAACACUAGGGGCAGAGCCUGGACACUAGAGAUGGGCCCCUUGGAAGGACUACAGCCACAAGACAGGGAAAUGGCUGGGCCGACCGUGCCUCGUACAGCAGGCAGUGGCCUUGCAGCCUCAAGACCUCAGCGUUAGAUAUGGGCAUUGGGUAAGCAGGUGUGGGCUUGGAAAUGGGCAUGUCAUGGUGGACAAGCUUUCAUUGGACUGCACUGCACCCAGUCAGCUUCAGUGUCCAGCCUUGUCCCAGGAGAUACGAGGAGAAACCAAGUCCCAAUUCUCAAAUUACUUGUGUUUUAGCAAAAUAUCUUUUGGUCCAAAUAAUUAACACAAAUUGCUAUGGAUUGAACAUCUACCGGGUGCAAGGCAGCCUAUGUGCAUGUUCUCACUUAAUCCUCACCUGGGGGAGGGGUAUCAUUCUAGAACCCUGGUGUACCUAAGUCUUCUUAGGCGACUCUUCCUGUUGUCGCCUGAAAGCCAAUCUUAGCAUGAAAUUAAUGUAUAGGAGGCAAGGGUAUGGUUAUAAAUCUCACGCUAGGAACAUUAAAAAGUGAGAGAGGUCUUUCCUGCAGGUUUCUUAAGGAGACAAAGUGGUGUCACAACAAACAUCAAGAUGCAAGGCUUCCUAGAUAUCCACUUACAACAUCCUUUUUUCUGAAUUCCACUCCUGACAUCACCUUCACACAUUUCUACAGAGGCCUCCUCAGCAUCUCUCUCCCUCCUAUGAUACUCCUCCAGCUCCCCCCACCCCCACUUCCCAAGUCCUUCCCUCUAGGGGUCUCCCUUAAUUUUAACUAGCCAUCUCUCAGUGACCCCAAAAGAUGUGAGGAAAAGAGUAGGAAGCUGCAAAAAAAAAAAAAAAAAAAAAAAAAAAAAAAAGACAAUGCCCAUGAAUAUAGAUCUUUACGUUUACAAAUGGCUUGCAUAUACAUUAUCCCACCUGAGCCCUUUUCAGACUCAGAAUAACCUGAGAAAACUGAGACUCAGAGAUAAAGUGAGUUGCUUAAAGUCCACUAGUGAGUGUUGAGCUGCACCUUGAAACCUAGGCCUCUUUCCUUCAGACUACAUCUGGCCCAGGGCUGCAAAUGCCUGGACAAGCCCAUCAAACUGUCAAUAACACUUCCCCAGCUACAGCUGCCAAAACUGUCGCCCUGGUGCCCCAGGGCAAGACUCAAGCCAUGCCCAGAAGACCGAGUCACCAGCAAUGGAAGGAAGUACAGGGACGAAAGGACUCAGAAAUCAAAGAUACUUGUAAUAAAUGCCUUCAAAAAGAUCCAGGAAAUUGGCUUCUCUCAAGUGACUUCUAUCAAAACCAAGGUGCAAAGUCCUGUGUAUUUAUUACCUGAGGAUGACCUUCUGAAUAACCCACAAAUAAUGGUCAGGCUUCUUGCAAGAGAGUGUGUGGGUCAAGGAAAUGUUUUUGAAAUUAACAAAUGUUUUGAGGGGAAAAAGAAACUAUCCCAUGCCUGUUGGUGAUUUCUCCCAAACCUGUCUCUGUUUUGUUUGUUUUUUUCCUAAUUGUAUAGAUCAAAUUUGCUUUAGGAAAUUUAGAAAAUUCAGACAAGUACAAAGAAGCAAGGGGGAGGAAGAUAUUGUCAGCCCAUCAGCCACAGGCAGAAUUAACCUUUUGGCCUAUUUUCUUCCAGUUAUUUGCCAUGCAUUUUUCUACAACUUUUCAUAGUUGAGAUCAUGAUAUAUAAAAAUGAUAUCCAGCUUUUGUCCCCCAUUUAAAGCAUAACAAACAUUUCCUGUAUGUAUAUAAUAAUACAUGUAUUCAUUCCCUUUAGCCCUUAUUAGAUGCAAGGCAGACAUUCUUAGGCAAGUUGUUAGUGGUUUAUUGCACUAUUUGUUGGCUGUAUGAGAGACAGUUUAGGGGCUAAACUGACUCACUGACUCUGGAGUCGGGCUGCCUGGGUUUGAAUCCUGACUCUGCCACCUCCUGGUUACAUGACCUUGGGCAAGUUAAUUUACCCCUCUGGCUCCAUUUCCCUACAUAUAAAAUGAGGAUCGUAGUAUCUGCCUCACAGAGUAGUUCUAAAGAUUAAAUGAGUUAAUUACAUGAAAAGUGCUUAGAAUAAUAAAUGGCAUGGUAAGCGCUAAGUAGUAGCUAUUAGCAAUCUAUGGUAUAUGUGGUCACAUCAUAAAUUAUUCAGCUAUUCUCUUGCAGCUGGACAGUAAGAUUGUUUUCAAUUUUUCCACUAUUAUAGAUAGUCCUAUAAACCAUUUACUGCAUGCAUUAGUGGAGGAAAGGCAGAUUGAAACUCUGCUGUGGAAAAAUUCAAAUGCCAAGAUAAGGUAUUGAGAAAUUCAGGAUAAAUGACCCAGGAGAAAAACUCUCCUUAGAAGGAGGUAUCCAGUCACGUUGAAGAGAUGACAUUUAAUUCUAUGGCAAACAUUUGUUGAGCUCUGUGCACCAGGAAAGGGUCUUGGCUAGAUCAGGGAACACAGAGAUGAAAAGGGGACACCAAGACAAACAAGAGACAAGACUGAAUCUCAAGGAGCUUUAUUCAGUUACAAAAAUAUCACAUUUGUUAUGUCCAGGAGUGAAUUUUCACCAUGACAUAUCUCUAUGGUUCACUUAUGUGGACAGGGAUUACAAAACGCCUGAUUUCAAAGGACCAAUGCAGUAGGAAAUACAGAGACAGCCAGUCUUCCUUCACGCCCUUAUGGAGAGGACUUGAUCAAGAACGCCUAUUUCACAGAAGAGAGGCGCCUGGGUGGCUCAGUCGGUUGAGUGUCCAACUUCAGCUCAGGUCAUGAUCUCACAGUUUGUGAGUUCGAGCCCAGUGUCGGGCUCUGUGCUGACAGCUCAGAGCCUGAGGCCUGCUUCAGAUUCUGUGUCUCCCUCUCUCUCUCUGCCCCUCCCCAGCUCCUGCUCGCACUCUGUCUCUGUCAAAAAUAAAUAAACUUAAAAAAAAUUUUUAAAAAGCCACCAACCAUGCCUAAGUAUAGCAGUGCUGCAUGGCCAGGGGAGCCCUCUCUCCCGAUAUUGUCCUGAGUGAGGGA